ensembl:lncRNA
CCCUUAACCAACAGUGCAGUUCAAGAAGAAGAAAAUAUUUACCAAGGAGACUAAAAUACAAAGUUAUAAUAAAAAGUAACACAAUAAGAACAACAAUAAUGAGGUUAAAUACAGGGGGAACCGGUACCGAGCCAGUGUGGAGGUUAUAUACAGGGGGUACCGGUACAGAGUCAAUGUGGAGGUUAUAUACAGGGGGUACUGGUACAGAGUCAAUGUGGAGGCUAUAUACAGGGGGUACUGGUACAGAGUCAAUGUGGAGGCUAUAUACAGGGGGUCCUGGUACAGAGUCAAUGUGGAGGCUAUAUACAGGGGGUACCGGUACAGAGUCAGUGUGGAGGUUAUAUACAGGGGGUACCGGUACAGAGUCAAUGUGGAGGCUAUAUACAGGGGGUCCUGGUACAGAGUCAAUGUGGAGGCUAUAUACAGGGGGUACCGGUACAGAGUCAAUGUGGAGGCUAUAUACAGGGGGUCCUGGUACAGAGUCAAUGUGGAGGCUAUAUACAGGGGGUACCGGUACAGAGUCAAUGUGGAGGCUAUAUACAGGGGUCCUGGUACAGAGUCAAUGUGGAGGCUAUAUACAGGGGUCCUGGUACAGAGUCAAUGUGGAGGCUAUAUACAGGGGGUACCGGUACAGAGUCAAUGUGGAGGCUAUAUACAGGGGGUACUGGUACAGAGUCAAUGUGGAGGCUAUAUACAGGGGUACUGGUACAGAGUCAAUGUGGAGGCUAUAUACAGGGGUACCGGUACAGAGUCAAUGUGGAGGCUAUAUACAGGGGGUACCGGUACAGAGUCAAUGUGGAGGCUAUAUACAGGGGUCCUGGUACAGAGUCAAUG